CGGUUUGGUUUAACAGCAAUCCCAGAACCUGGAAUUAUGGGGGUUCCAGAAGCAGAAUCUGGAAUUGCUGUUGGCAGGAGACGGGAUGAUCCUUAAAUCCCCUCCCAGCCCAGGCCAUGCCAGCAUUCCAGGACUCCAUGAGAGGUGUGCAGGAAGAGCAGGACUCCCAAGACAGAAUUGUGAGGAGACGUUUCCUCCAGCCCAUCCCUUAUUCAGAGCCAGCCCUUUCCUCUCCCUGUGUCCGGCAGCUCCGGCUGUGAGUGACCUUUCCAGGGUCACCGUGGUGACAUCGGGGCCAAUGUCCAGGCAGGGCAGUGGCCGCAGUCCCGGGACAGCCGCGGUGGCACCAUGAGGCUGUGGCUGCUCUGCGCCGUGGCCGUGGCCAUGGCCGGAGUGGCCGGAGCUGACCACGGCGACUCCGGGAUGGCGGCAGAGAGGAGAGAGGGCCAGCGGCGGCCGCACAGACCCUGCUCCGGCUGCUUCUCGGUGCUGAGCGAGGUGAGCCGGGAUGCGGGAAUGCGGGGUCGGGGGAUGGGGGCUCCUACACCCGUGUCUGUCCCGCAGGAGUCGCAGUCGAUGCCCUGGAAUUCCCGGGAGGAGGAUGCGGCUCAGCUGGGCAGGCGGGCUCGGAGCAGGAAGGGACUGGAGGUACCGGAGUGUGCCCAGGGCUGCCCGGGAAUGGGGAUGGGGAUGGGGAUGGGGAUGGGAUGGGAUGGGAUGGGAUGGGAUGGGAUGGGAUNNNNNNNNNNNNNNNNNNNNNNNNNNNNNNNNNNNNNGGGAUGGGAUGGGAUGGGAUGGGAUGGGAUGGGAUGGGAUGGGAUGGGAUGGGAUGGGAUGGCAUCUCCCUCUUCCGGGUUCCCUGUGACACAGCGCUCCCUCCCGCAGGCCAGAGCCAGGAGGGAGAGCCUGCAGCCGUCCCAGCCUGCCGGACACCCCGGGCGCAUCCUGCUGCUGUGACCGGUGACAGCGGAACCCCGGCAGGAGCCCGGGACCGGCAGGGACCCCCCGGCAGCCCCCGCGGGACGUUUCAGGAGUGACCGAGCAGCCAAGAGCGCGGUGGGAACAAUGCCAGAGCCCGGGAAUGCUGCUGGACACCGGGAGCAGCCCCACGCCAGCAGAACUCAGCCACCCACUCCCUGCUCUGCGCUGAGCCCCCCGCCUUUCCCACCCCCCAAAAUGCUUCUGGGGCAGCCGCCCCCGCUUUGCCAAGCCCCCAAAUAAAGCUGGCACACCAGAGGGAGCA
rnacentral:lncRNA from 1 species